CAGUAGCCGCGGUAAUACGGAGGGGGCUAGCGUUGUUCGGAAUUACUGGGCGUAAAGCGCACGUAGGCGGCUUGGUAAGUUAGAGGUGAAAGCCCGGAGCUCAACUCCGGAAUUGCCUUUAAGACUGCCGAGCUAGCAGGUGAGAGAGGUAAGUGGAAUUCCGAGUGUAGAGGUGAAAUUCGUAGAUAUUCGGAAGAACACCAGUGGCGAAGGCGGCUUACUGGCUCAUACUGGACGCUGAGGUGCGAAAGCGUGGGGAGCAAACAGGAUUAGAGACCCGUGUAGUCCCUGUCUCUUAUAC
rnacentral:rRNA from 1 species